rnacentral:rRNA from 1 species
UACGGAGGGGGCUAGCGUUGUUCGGAAUUACUGGGCGUAAAGCGCACGUAGGCGGCUUUGCAAGUUAGAGGUGAAAGCCCGGGGCUCAACCCCGGAAUUGCCUUUAAAACUGCAUCGCUAGAAUUGUGGAGAGGUAAGUGGAAUUCCGAGUGUAGAGGUGAAAUUCGUAGAUAUUCGGUAAGAACACCAGUGGCGAAGGCGACUUACUGGACACAUAUUGACGCUGAGGUGCGAAAGCGUGGGGAGCAAACAGG